rnacentral:rRNA from 1 species
AACGCGAAGAACCUUACCCAGGCUUGACAUGCAGAGGACGAUACCAGAGAUGGUAUUUCUCGUAAGAGUCUCUGCACAGGUGCUGCAUGGCUGUCGUCAGCUCGUGCCGUGAGGUGUUGGGUUAAGUCCCGCAACGAGCGCAACCCUUAUCACUAGUUGCCAGCACGUAAUGGUGGGAACUCUAGUGAGACUGCCUGGGUUAACCAGGAGGAAGGUGAGGAUGAUGUCAAGUCCGCAUGGCCCUUAUGUCUGGGGCUACACACGUGCUACAAUGGCCGGUACAGAAGGUAGCGAAGCCGCGAGGCGUAGCAAAUCCCAAAAGCCGGUCUCAGUUCAGAUUGUAGUCUGCAACUCGACUACAUGAAGUUGGAAUUGCUAGUAAUGGCGUGUCAGCAACAGCGCCGUGAAUACGUUCCCGGGCCUUGUACACACCGGUACUA